CCUACGGUGUGCAGCAGUGGGGAAUAUUGCACAAUGGGGGAAACCCUGAUGCAGCGCCGCCGCGUGAGUGAAGAAGUAAUUCGUUAUGUAAAGCUCUAUCAGCAGGGAAGAAAAUGACGGUACCUGAGUAAGAUGCCACGGCUAACUACGUGCCAGCAGCCGCGGUAAUACGGAGGGGGCAAGCGUUAUCCGGAUUUACUGGGUGUAAAGGGAGCGUAGACGGCAGUGCAAGUCUGGAGUGAAAGGCGGGGGCUCAACCCCCGGACUGCUCGGGAAACUGGACGGCUGGAGGGUAGGAGAGGUAAGUGGAAUUCCUAGGGUAGCGGUGAAAUGCGUAGAUAGUAGGAGGAACACCAGUGGCGAAGGCGGCUUACUGGACUGGAACUGACGGUGAGGCUCGAAAGCGUGGGGAGCAAACAGGAUUAGAUACCCCUGUAGUC
rnacentral:rRNA from 1 species